rnacentral:lncRNA from 12 species
AAUGUAUCCCAACAAUCCUAAUUAAAGUUGUUAUUUACAGGUCAGAUGGUAGAGAAAUGAUUACAUAUAUUUAAGAACCUAAAAUGCAGAUUGUCUUAUUCUCCCAGGAGCUAGAGGAGGGGGAGAAAAAUUGGGAAGGCAGGUGGGCAGACAGGAUUGAAAUUUCCUAAUCUCAUUCAUUCCUUUCUACAGACAAGUCAACAGUUCCCCGGAAAGUUGAAGAUUAAACUCUGUGGCUAGAGUUCUAAUCUCAGUUACUAACAAAUACUGAGCCUCCAGCUUGCCCCUUUAUCUGCUCAUCUCUCCUUCCAAAGGUAGCUUCCUCUUUUUUUUCUGAGUGCUUGACAGACUAGGGCCAUGGGAGACAUAUUCUUGGGAAGUCUCAUUGGCUUCAAUCCAAAUAAAAUGUAAGGAAAUAGAGUGGCUCAGGGCUCUAGCUUGCAGAAAGGAGGUAAGUAUUGGGACCUCAAUUCUAUCAUUUCAAUCAUGUCACCUGACCACUAAGAUCCUCAAUAAUUUCUACCAUUUCCAACAUUAGCAUCUCAGAACUAGGAGUCCUAAGAGCCAUUUCUCAUUCUUACAGGAAGAAGCAAGAAGGAGGAAUUGGAAAUCAAAGAGAAACUCCUCUGUGUCCUCCUGCAGUCCUACUUGGCCAAGGCAGGAAGGACCCAUGGAGGGGGGCACUGAGCGACCAUGCAGCUGAGCUAGAUCGUCAGACUCUUCCUUCUCUUGAAGCCCUUUGCACCCCAGCCCUGCCUACUGGAGCCAGAGGUAACGGAGAGCAGAGAAGGCAAGUGUUCCCUCCAGCAGUUGCUCCAAAAGUCUUUUGGCAAGAAGGAAAGUUGGUGGGAGGCUGUGCCCCUUCCUGCCCCCCACGCAUCAGGAUGGGAGGAUGUGGCUGUGCUUCUGCCUGGAGCCCCGUGCUCCUGUAACCUGCUCCUUCCAGUGACCUAAGUCGCACCUGGUCUCAGAAGGGGAAGGAAGAGGUAAGAGGACACUCUUCCCACUAUGGCUACAAAAGAGACCUGAUGCCUUCCCUUCAACCACCCCCCCCCCCAAGAGAGUGCAGUUCUCAGAGGCGCCCUCACACCUGCUUGCAUUUUAAUUAAUAUCAUCCCACCAUCUAUCAACAGCAAGUCAACAUGCUUCACACCAGGGGAGAAAAACAAUCCUCGCCUUGUCAGCCCUGCUUCUCCAGGAGCAGCUGAGGGUCUCAACCCCCCCUGACUCUCUGCCACUCCUUUUCCCUGGGGGCUGUUGACAGGGUGCAGUGUGGCUUGCCACGAAGAUGGCUUCGGCAUCAGAAGGUGGCAGCAUGGGAGCGCUGGCUGGAGCUGCCUCUUGGUCAGGUACAGGCACUUAGUACCAGCUCUGUGCUCAGGGCUUUCUGAUCAUUGAAGCAAUGGUGUGCGAAAAGGAUUUCUAUCCUCAUCUUAUCAGAAGGUGCACUAGAAGUUUGGAGAAGUACGGGGACUGCUGAGGUCCCACUGCUGAAGCAGGACCAGGCUGGGCAUCUGAAAGGCAGACCUGGCCUCCAGAUCCCUCAGGCUCUUCCCGCCUCUCUUCCCCAGUACCCCAUGACAGCAGCCUGGGGAAGGGACUGGCCUUGAGUGCUUUUCUGAGCAGCAGAGCUGGUGGGGACAGAGCCUUCCUUCCCCGCAUCCACCACAGCCAUACCCUUGGGACACUGUUUAGCCCACUGGACUUCUGCCAAGUGCUAUCCCAGAUGAUCAACACCGUUUUCUGAGAUAUGAGAUAAUUAACUGCCCCGACUUUAGCAGCAGAAUGAGAAGGGUUCUGUUAGGUGGAGACAGGAGUUAAGAAUAGGCAAGUAUAUCAAUAGAAGGUCAUAGUGUGGAAGCCUCUUUGUAUUUAUGGGGUAUGUGUGCACAGAUGCAUGCCCAUAAGAGUGUGAGGCAGUUGGAACAGUAU